rnacentral:tRNA from 1 species
AGCGACAUAGCUCAGUUGGUUAGAGCGGCGCGCUCAUAACGCGUUGGCCCCAGGUUCGAGUCUUGGUGUCGCUA